rnacentral:lncRNA from 1 species
GGGAGGGGAACUAAGGCUGAGGCCAAGGAGAGGAAAUGACUCACACCGUGAGAGAGGAGUUGAGACCAGGGAGGCUGCUUGCUGUAUGAUGCAACUGAGAGGGUAGAACAAGGCUGGCACAGAGAAGGUGGGGAAGGAAAAGGAGAGACGAAGCUGAGAUUUCAGCAGGGCCAAGUCAGCCACCAGGAAACUGAGGCCCAAGAGUGAGGCAACUGGCCCAAGGGCACACAGCCAGCCUCCACCUGACUGGGACAAAGCCAUGCAGAGAGCUAGUGCUCCCUUCCUGCUAGACUUCAAGGAUGCCUGGUUCCUGUGCCCCAUCUCCAUCCAGCCCUCUCUUCUACACCUGGGACUGGACAUUUUUGCAAGAGACAGGAGCUGUGACUGUGCAUUCACUGCUGUAUCCCCAGCACCCAGCACUGGGCCUGCCACACAUCUACUCUCAGGAGUUAUCCUCUAGGGAGCAUGGUCAAGAAUGGCCCUGGGGACUUGCUUGUAAUAGAAAAACAAACUAACCAACCAACCAAAAAAGAUAUAGCCUAGAUGCCCAAAAGCCAGGACUGGCUGAAUCCGUUGCGUUUUGGCGUCCCUGGAAAUGUUCCGCAGUCAUGAAGGAGGAGGCAUUUGCACAGAAUUGGAAAGAUGCCCAGGACUUGGGGCACAUCAAGCCUAACCCCAUGUGUGGCAAGAGAAGAAAGAAAGUAUUAAUGUAAAUAAAGAGAAAUGGGGUGAACAUAUAGGAGAAGGCUGGAAAGACCGCAGUGGUGCCUGUGUUUGGGAAGAAUAUGAAAGAAAUUCCCUCAAGUGCUGUGACUUCUGCAGAGCAGGUUUGAGUGGAUGAAGAUGGAGAGGAGGAAGAUGGGGGCAGGAUGGAGGGCCCAACUUUCACUUUUAUUUUGUACAGGUUCCUGUUGUCCGAUGAUAUUAUAAUAAUCAAGAGACAUUUUUUGUAAUGGAUUUAGAAGCAAAGAGGAGUUUUUCAAAAGAAAGCCUUAGACUCAGCUCUUUCUUUUUGGACAUUUUAUCCUCCAGAUUUACUCACAUGUGUGUGAAAUGAGAUAUGGAAAUGUUACUCAUCGUAUCACUGGUUGGAUUAGUAAAAGGCUGGAAGCAACCUCAAUAUCCAUUAACUGGGGACUGGAGGAAUAAAAGCAGGGACCACAUAUGGUGGAGCAUUAUAAAGGUGGAGAAAAAAAUGAGCAAGCAUGUCAUGCAGUUAUAGAAUCUUUCCAAGGUAACUGAAUAAUAAUUUGUAGAAACAAGGUAUAAACAAGUAGUAGGCUACAUUUGGGCUUAAAAAGGAUAAAAAUGGGAAUGUACAGAUGCUCCAAAAUGUAUGAUGGGGCUAUGUCCUAAUAAAGCCAUCGUAAGUUGAAAAUGUCCUAAGUCAAAAACUCAUUUAAUACACCUAACCUGCUGAACAUCCUAGCUUAGCCUAGACCAUCUUAAACAUGCUUAGAACACUUACAUUAGCCUGUGAUUGGGCACGAUCAUCUAGCACAAAACCUAUUUUAUAACAAAAUGUUGAGUAGCUUAUGUAAGGUAUUGAUAUUGUACUGAAAGAGAAAAACCGAAUGGUUGUAUGGGUACUCAAAGUACGGUUUCUACUGCAUGUGUAUCACUUUCAUACCACUGUUAAGUCACAAAAUUGUAAGCCCAACCAUUGUAAGUUAGCAAUCUUCUGUAUGUAUGUGUUUGCAUAUUCAUAAGAAACCCUGGAAUGUCAGCUUAUAGGAUGUCAGCUUCACGAGGACAGGGGCUUUUGUCUCUUUGUUCACUUCUGUAUCCACAGUGUCUACAAUAGUGCCUGACACAUGAAAAGAGUUUGAAAAAUAAUUGUUGGUUGAAUGAAUGGAAGGAUACACAAGAAACUAGGAACAGUGGCUACCUCUGGCUUGGGUGGGUGGCUGAGAGACAGGGCUGGGAGGGAGACAUUUUACUGUAUAUCCACUUGUGCCAACUCAUUCUGCAGACUAAGAAAUUGAGUCCAGCUAGGGCAGAAGAAAUUUCCUCUGGACUCCCAAUUAUGCUGCAGGAAAAGAGAGAAUUGGGGCACACUGAAAUUCUAGAAUUCCUGCCCUGUCUUCAUGGGCCAAGAGUUUACCGAUGACAUCCUCCAUCCUCACUGAUUUCUAGACACCUAGUGUUAAUUUAGAGUCAUUGAAAGUGUCCCAGUCCUUGCCACUGAGACCUUGGGUUGGGAGAAUAAGAAGAUGGGCAGAUUGUCAUUAAUUGCACCCAGAUUAGAGAGAGCUGGGGGAUCUUAUGGCCUUAUCCUGAACCGGCAUGUGAACAACAACAUCUUGCCUGAUUCACAGGCCUGUGGCUUGUUCAGUGGGUAGAUUUUGCCUUCUCCAGAACCCUGACUUUGGCAGCUUUUUUUCUUCACUCAGCUUGAAACUGAGGUGAAAUCAGCCUUAGCUGCCAGAUUUUUCUGCUUUAUCUAAACCUCAUGACCGCUUUUUUUUUUUUUUUUUUGUAAUUUAAAGGGUGUUCCCCUGAUGCCCAUUUGCUUAUAAAUGCAAAGACUCUCUGAUAGUGUGGACAAGAACCUGGUAACUGUGGUUGUUUCUGGGAAAGGAAUCGUA